UUGAAUGGUUUUACACUAGUAAUUUUGGGGCCCUUUAUAGCUUGUUGUUCGGUGUGAGCCAAGGCUCUGUGGUGAAGGCCGUACAUUGACCUAUAAUGGUUUACUUUUUUUAAAAUUGUUAUUUGGAUGGAGAGUUGUCUCAUUGGAACUCACACCACAUCUUCCUAUAUCUAAUUAAUAUACUUCCAUGAUAAAAAAAAAUGUGUUGAUUGCACAUGGAAUUUGUUCA
rnacentral:lncRNA from 1 species